AGGGUUAUAGCUCAGUGGUAGAGCACCCCUGGGUUCAAUUCCUAAGUAAUCCUC
rnacentral:tRNA from 1 species